ensembl:rRNA 5S_rRNA 5S ribosomal RNA
GUCUCUGCCCAUAUCAGCCUGAAGGCGCCCCAUCUCCUCUGAUCUCGGAAGCUAAGCAGGGUCGGGUCUGGUUAGUACUUGGAUGGGAGACCACCUGGGAAUACCGGGCGCUGGAGGCU